UACGUAGGGGUACAAGCGUUUAAUCGGAAUUACUGGGCGUAAAGCGUGCGCAGGCGGUGAUGUAAGACAGAUGUGAAAUCCCCGGGCUCAACCUGGGAACUGCAUUUGUGACUGCAUAGCUAGAGUACGGUAGAGGGGGAUGGAAUUCCGCGUGUAGCAGUGAAAUGCGUAGAUAUGCGGAGGAACACCGAUGGCGAAGGCGCGACCUGGUUCAUUACUGAGCUGAGGCGCGAAAGCUGGGGGAGCGAACGG
rnacentral:rRNA from 1 species